GGUUGUGGCUCAGUGGUACAGCACUCGCCUAGCAUGUGUGAGGCCCUGGGUUCGAUUCUAGGCGCCA
rnacentral:tRNA from 1 species